rnacentral:rRNA from 1 species
GACGAACGCUGGCGGCGUGCUUAACACAUGCAAGUCGAGCGGAGCGGCGAACGGGUGAGUAACGCGUUAGUAACUGCCCCCCUCUCUGGGAUAACAGUUGGAAACGGCUUCUAAUACCGGAUAGUGGGGGAUGCCUCGCGUCCUAUCAGCUUGUUUGUGGGGUAGUUGCCUACCAAGGCGACUCCGGGUCGCCGGCCUGAGAGGGCGACCGGGCACAGUGGGCUAAGCUACGGGCCAAAAUCCUACGGGAUGCAGCAGUGGGGAAUAAUGCAGAAUGGGGGAAGGCCGGAUGCAGCAUCGCGCGUGCGGGAUGACGGCCUUAGGGGUAUAUACCGCUUUCGGCCAUGACGCGGUAGUGGCAGAAGAAGCACCGGCUAAUUACGUGCCAGCAGCCGCGGUAAUUC